GGAACGGGGGCCGCAAGCCGGCGGGGGCGGCGGCGUCGCCGCUCGGCUCCUUUCUUUCGCGAGAGGUCAAGGGCAAGCGGGUUUGAGGAGGCCCGACGGCGAUUCCGUUGUUCGCCGCCGUGAUGUGGCGCCUGCCGCGCCUGACGUGCGGCCCCUGGGAGAAGACGGGCCAUCUCACAGACGGUCGUCUCUCCCCGCUCGGGAGGCAUCCGCGGCGGCGGAUCGGCACCCGCCCGUCGCUCGCCGCACGGUGCUCGCCCCCCGCCCAUCGCUCGAGAGGCAUCCGCGGCGGCGGCCGUGGGCUCUGGAAGGUGGGGUGGCAGGCGGCCGGCAUCCGAUGGCCGUGUGGUGCUAAAGCUCUCCGCCCGGUCAGUUCUUCCGAGCUGAGCAAGAUCAACGACUUCAACUCGAUUUUUCUCAAGAUUUCAUAUUCAAGUUCGUCUAAGAGUUAAACUAGGAAGUGUAGAUGAAUGAUAGGGCUGCAAUUCUUGUAUUCAAAGUUUUGUGAUUCGAACAAAGGAUUUGGAGAUUAGGACGGACAGUCCGGCCGAUGCAACGAGUUUGGUUCACGUUUUAGAGUUAAUUGCCGCCUGAACCUGUGAAUUUCUUUAGAUUUCUCCCUCGAUUUCAAAUAGUGUAUCAUCAAAAAGUUUAACUGAAUUUUAUACAGGGUAUAUAGGGCUCUAAAUUUUGUA